AUGUGGGUGCUACAGGGAGACUUGAAAAAUGACUUCCAGUUUAUUAAGUCACAGUAUGAUCCAUAUCCACAGUGUAACUUCAGUGGAACAGAGGCUUUUACUCCCUUCCAAGAAGGAGAAACAGAUUUCAUAUCAGGACCAGAUAGGAUACCAGCUGUUUGCUUUACUUCUGGCAGUUCACAACACAGAAGUUCCUCAGGAGAGGAUGUUCUGUCACAGACAGUGUUGCUUUCAGGAAAGAUGAAGCCAAACCACAGGGCUUGUCUGCAGCAUCAUCUCUAA
rnacentral:lncRNA from 1 species